rnacentral:rRNA from 1 species
CCUACGGGUGGCAGCAGUGGGGAAUAUUGGGCAAUGGGCGCAAGCCUGACCCAGCAACGCCGCGUGAAGGAAGAAGGCUUUCGGGUUGUAAACUUCUUUUAAGAGGGAAGAGCAGAAGACGGUACCUCUUGAAUAAGCCACGGCUAACUACGUGCCCACAGCCGCGGGAAUACGUAGGUGGCCAGCGUUGUCCGGAUUUACUGGGUGGAAAGGGCGUGCAGCCGGGAAGAAAAGUCAGAGGUGAAAUCCCGGGGCUUAACCGCAGAACUGCAUUUGAGACUGUUUUUCUUGAGUACCGGAGAGGUCAGCGGAAGUCCUGGUGUAGCGGUGAAAGGCGUAGAUAUAAGGAAGAACACCAGUGGCGAAGGCGGAUGACUGGACGGCAACUGACGGUGAGGCACGAAAGCGUGGGGAGCGAACAGGAUUAGAUACCCGUGUAGUC